CAGCCUGCUGGGUAAUGUAGUGCCGGAAGUGGCUGGUGGGGAUGGGGCCUUCAAGUUAGAUCUAUGUCGAUGGAGCAAGCAGAAAGGCUGUUAUGAUCGACUCCCCCCUCCCAGCCCUGCUCAGGGCCAGCUGUAAGCAUAGCCCUGCUGAAAGCCCUGGCAGCCCUGAGGAGGGAGGAAUCCAACCUCCAGAAUGUGCUCCGGGCUGACAGCGCUCACCGCACAGCGAUGAGAGAGGAAAAGCUCUUCUGGCCUUUGGGCAUAGCUAACACCACAGCACAGCAAUCCCUUGGUCAGGGUCCAGAACUCUUCCAGGUCUCCUGGUUUCAAUGAGGACCUUCUGCUCUGACUCACGCCUGGGAAUCAUCAUCCUCAGCAGUGGGGCUGUGUUGCAGUGCUGGGGUGGGGGGAGCUCCAUCUCUGGGUACGGUGCCUUCCACCCCAACAGGACGGCCCUGGGCACCCUGUGCCUUCGAAGAAACUUCAAAGUAACAGCACAGCACCUCCUGCUAGCGGGGAGUGCUGAUGAAUUAUAGAAUGGACCCACCCACUCUCACUUUAAUCUGUCAUGUUCUAUGGAAAUUAAGCCUUUCUCUUACAAGCAGGCAAUUUGUGCUCUUGGCAUCUCCAGCGAGAGCGAGCUCUCAGCUCUUCUGCUGGGUUAUUGAUACCUUUUGUAUAGAGCAGUGCAGCGCCUAAUUGGGCUCUUUGUCUGUUCCAACGCGCUUCCAGCAAGCAGAACCUACAGCAGCCCUUAGCACAAAGCAGCUCGUGGUGCAAUGGGGAGAAGCAGGGCAUGAAGAAAACACAUCCUGGGCAAACAGUCACCUCUCCCCUAAGUGGCUCACAGGUGCAAGCCCGGCUGGUGCACACAGGUGUGUUUUCCUUGCUCUGAUCUGGGCUAGAGCUAUAAACAAGCAGGCAAUCCCCGAGCAAGAAAGGGCUCCUUGUGUGCUGCGAGUACUUGUGCCAAGCUGGGGGAGUGUGGGGGUUUUAUGCCCCUCCUUUCCUGUGUGUUAAGAAGGCAUCUCGCUGCUGGACCUCGCAUCCCUGCCAGCCAGAGUGCAGCUCUUUGAAGAGGCUGCACCUGGAAGGAAGGAUGGAAAAGGCUGGAGGGAGCUGGGGGUGCCCACAGCCGUGGGAGGGAGCGUGGCAAUGCAGUGCGUGGGAUUGCAUCCGUGCCCAGGUGGUGCCGGGAAGAAUUGUACCUUUUCAUAGAGCUGGGUGAGGCUGGAGGCGAUGUCUGUGCCCUGCGUGCUUUGAGGAGUUGGGGGGUGCUGUGUAUCCGGUCAUAAACUGCUUCAGGAAUGAGGGUGGGGAGUCCAAAACCCAUAGGUGGGGGAAACUAGUGCCAGGGUCACGCGGCAACUAUGUUAAAUGCUUAAAUCCUUCCUUCUGCCACUUUGGGUCCUUCUCUGCUUCAAAGGGGGGCUUGGAGGCAAGGGAACUGCUGGUUUGGGGGGGGGGGUUAUUAUUAUAGUAAAUGAAGUUUGACCUUCUUAUAGGGUGAAGGACAAAACCAUAUUCACCCAAGGAACUUUAGCCAGGAGAAUGAAUAGGACAAAGCACAAGCCAUCUGUCCACAGCAUCCUCCAUCUUCCCAAUCAAAGCUGCCCUACGCAAGUGGGUUCCUUACACAUAUCUCCUGCAAAACCUACACCCUCACACCAUGCACCUACAGUGAUUUGUGUCCCAGAGCAUCUCCAAUUUGCAACGGCUGGGACAUCUCCAGCGGCACCAUGGGGCUUGUGCAGAGCUGGAUAUGGGGCCUGGAAACCCAUGUCUGAGGCAGGAAGAGGAAGAGCACCCAAGUGGAGUGGAAGGCUUGCUGUAAGGCAUGGAAGGAAGGAGCUGCACCAAACCCAUAGGCUCCUAUCGAGCUCAUCAGCUCUUCAAAGUGAGCAUGCCAGUCAUUACUGAGGGGAGGGAAGGAGAAGGUGAUGAGCAGCAGUGAACAGAGCUGGAUGAAGGGAGGGAUACUGUGAGGGUGUGGGGCCAGUGGGUUGGGGUCUGAAUGUCUAACUGAUUUCAGUAGAGAACCAGCAGAGCCAUUGAGAUGUAUCAUUGGGGUUCAAGAGCAGAAGAAAAAUUCCUUACCCUGAGGUAAGCUGACUCUUUGUUGAGGAUUUUACUUGCUUUGGUGGUACCAGGCGGCCAGGAGAGGAGCAAGGGGAGCAGCAGCAUUAGGAACAAACCCUGGCCAAGCCCAGCAUGUGCCAUGAGAGCUGAUGGUUUACAUUAGAGAAGGCUCUAAUAUUGUGUGAUGGCCUUUAAGUGCGUUUUUAUGAUAAUGAUGAUAAUUUUCAACUGAGCAAAUGGCAGAAAUGCAGGCAGGGUAUUGGAAAGGGCCAUUUGGCUCCAAGUACAACAUCCAGUGGUGCUGCUGAGCCCCUGCCAGAGGGACUGCUGCUGUGCUGCAGGGACGGCUCCCUGCCCCGACUGCACGCUGCUCCCCACUGCUGUAAACUUGCUGUUUGGGCAAUGAUGAGGGUUGCAUAAGCAGGAGUCAGUGUCAAUUUGCUGUUUUCUCCUCCCUUGGAGCAAAGAAUGGUGUGUUUAGAAGCUCUGUUGACACCCCUCUCCCAACAUCAGAGCGCUUCUGAGCUUUUCCCUUUGCAGAACAGCUCACAGGAGAGCCCUGCUUUCAGCUCCCCUCAGCCCCACGCCGCCCUGUGAUCCCUUUCCCCCCCCUCUAGACAAAAUAACAAGCUCUCUCCUUUCUCAGGACCGCACGCUCCUUUUCCAGACUCUCCUCAGCUCUUUCAUCACGCCAAUAAAGAAAGCAAGCCAAUGCAUCACACAUUGGCUGCACAGAGCGGAAACCCUUAAACAUCUGAGAGCCGGGAGCGAGGCGCUGUGAUUUGCAAGGCCCCCGCUGCCCCCGUUGGGUCAGAUGUCUCUUGCCCUGAAGGAAGAGAGAGGGGGACUUGUUAAAACCUUUCCUAUUUCUCAGCCUGAGGUCCCGUUUUGGCUGUCCGGAGGCUGAGGCGUGAGCCGGGAGUGGGGCUGCCAAGGGGGCAGGGCAGCGAGCCCGCGGCGUGCAAACAGAUUGUGCAAUAUUUGCCUUGCACAGAGCUCCCAUUGUACAGCCUGGGAGUUCUGCUUUCAAUAAUUCCCCUGCUCAUAAUGCCCCAUUGACGGCGAGAGAAAGGCGGUAUUGAGGGCUGAAGGGGCUCCGGCUCUGAAAAGGGUUAAAAACUAAAGAAAAAAAGGGGUGGAGGUGAGGGGGGGGGAAGGAGAUUUGAGGCUUAGUUUUAAACUUUGCUGUGUGGCCCUUAUGGUAAAUUGUGGCUGCUGAGAAGUAUGCAGAGAGCUGUUUGCAUAACCCGGUGUGCAGCAAAUGCUCUUGGAGCCCAAACACAAGUGUAGCCGGAGCUGGAGGUGGUGGGGAGAGAAAGCAGGAAAGGCUGUGAUUAUUUUAAUUCUUGCCCCAGACCACAUUAAAUUAACAAUGAACAAAUUAAAAAGAGCUAAUAUUCAAAUAUUUAGUUAGAGAAGCAGCUGUGCAAAUGUGAGCUGCUGUGCCAGCUGUGGGGACAUCGGUCAAUGCUCACCACCUUGUGCUGAUGGCUGGAGAGCAUCUUAUGUACUGCUCUGGGCUGGAGAGCACCAAAAGGAGCCCUGAAGCCUCUGUCUGAUGGCUUCACUCGUUGUUGUAAAGGUAUGGUCUCAACUGGAAAGUGUCUGUAAGUGCAUAGAAGUGCUCGGUCCAGUGGGCAGAGCUGGGGGAUGCUGUGCAUGCUGUGAUGCUGCCAGCCCUGCAGCUCUCACCCCAAGGGGUUCCCCAUUGCUGUGGGCUGGCAGAACUGCCUGGGCAGAUGCAGGACCGAAGCGACUGAGGGCUUGGACUGAGAAUGCCAACAUCAGCAGCUGCAGCCAGGCGGGUUGCCAGGGGAAUCCUCCCUGUUGUGCAAUGCUGGAGCUCUCCAAGGAAGCUCCCAGCUCUUGAGACAUCUCAGAGCGAGACCGGGCAAGUGACUGUCGUGAAUUCCCAGCAGUGAGAGGGGUGGCUACAGGCCUUGAGCACUUUUUCCAUGCGUGGACCUUGUGAUGCAUUAAUCACCCCCAGAGCAGCAUUGCUGCUGGCUGCAAUUGUCCUGACCUGAACCUUAGAGCUCUCAUUUCUUCCUCUUCCUCCUCCUUCCCAGCUGCUCCCAUCUCCUGCCUCCAACAGUCCCAGCAGGACUGCUCCAAGGUUUAUGGGCAGCUACAUCUAACAUUUAUGCAUGUUAGGGGUUAGGAAAAUCUGACACAGGCUGCCCAGGGAGCUGGGGGGUCACUCUGGAGGUGUUCAAGGGGAUGGAGAUGUGGCACUGAGGGAUGCAGUCAGUGGGUGUAAUGGGAUGGGUUGGGGUUGGACUUGGGGAUCUUAGAGGUGUAUGGUACCACCUCCUCCCUGAGCAGCACCCUUCCAUCAAGUCCAGUUGUUUUCUACAAAGAGGGAAUUAUUCAAAGUUGAGGAAUUCAGGGGAGAGUGGAGAGACGUGCGGGAGGAGAGUGUGCAAAAGAGAGUGGGGAAGGGAGGAGCAGCAGAAGGAAAGAAAGAUGAACUGAUGAACCCCUGGGGAUUAAUCAGACCUUACUGAAGGGUUGCAGGGGAAGGCACAGCCAAGUGCUAAAUGUCCCCACUCCUAUGUCCCAGCGUGCCUGAUGUGGGGUGGUGGGGAGACAUGGCGUGAGGGAGAGAGCAAUGAAUGUGGGGACAGCCCAGGGAGGGGAUGCGGAGGAGUUGAGCCCAAGUAUGCAGGGGAGGGGAUGUGGAGGGCCCA